GAUGAACGCUGGCGGCGUGCCUAAUACAUGCAAGUCGAGCGAACGGACGAGAAACUUGCUUCUCUGGUGUUAGCGGCGGACGGGUGAGUAACACGUGGAUAACCUACCUAUAAGACUGGGAUAACUUCGGGAAACCGGAGCUAAUACCGCAUAAUAUUUUGAACCACAUGGUUCAAAAUUGAAAGACGCACUUGCUUUCACUUAUAGAUAGAUCCGCGCUGCAUUAGCUAGUUGGUAAGUUAACGGCUUACCAAGGCAACGAUGCAUAGCGGACCUGAGAGGGGGAUCGGCCACACUGGACCUGAGACCCGGCCCAGACUCCUACGGGAGGCAGCAGAAGGGAACCUUCCGCAAUGGGCGAAAGCUUGACGGAGAAACGCCGCGUGGGUGAGGAAGGUCUUCGGUUCGUAAACCUCUGUUGUUGGGGAAGAACAUAUGUGUAGGUAACUGCGCACAUCUUGACGGUACCUAAUCAGAAAGCCACGGCUAACUACGUG
rnacentral:rRNA from 1 species